rnacentral:lncRNA from 1 species
UCACGUUAUAAAAACUACAACUAGUUGAAUAUGACAAAACUUGUCAACAAACUACAAACUGCAUAGCAUCAAAAUAAGUGUUUAAACAAUACCUCAAAAUUAUAAAUCAAAAAAUAUGAAAUAUUUGCAAGGAAAAAAGUACUUAAAGAGGAUGGGUAAAGGAAGUUGCCAUCCAUGUUGUCUCAUUUAUAGCUAAAAUGUUGCAAUCC